rnacentral:misc_RNA from 1 species
GGUGCCUUAUUAUGAGAUGGAUCCUGAUACCCCCAUCUCUUCUGCAUUUGCUCAGCAUGGGGUGCAAUGGGCUGCUUAUGUGGUGAGUGCUGGAGCUGUUACUGCACUGUGCUCGACAUUGUUGGGUUCUCUUCUACCUCAGCCACGAAUCUUGAUGGCAAUGGCGAGAGAUGGGUUGCUGCCUUCUUUUUUCUCGGAUGUUAAUAAAAAAACUCAAGUUCCUGUCAAGAGCACCAUAGCAAGUGGUGUUGGUGCUGCAGGCUUGGCCUUUUUCAUGGAUGUUUCAGAGUUAGCAGGGAUGGUCAGUGUUGGUACCCUUCUAGCAUUUACCACAGUGGCUGUAUCGGUGUUGAUUCUCAGAUAUAUUCCACCCAAUGAGGUGCCGAUGCC